rnacentral:rRNA from 1 species
AUUGAACGCUGGCGGCAUGCCUUACACAUGCAAGUCGAACGGCAGCACGGGUGCUUGCACCUGGUGGCGAGUGGCGAACGGGUGAGUAAUACAUCGGAACAUGUCCUGUAGUGGGGGAUAGCCCGGCGAAAGCCGGAUUAAUACCGCAUAAGAACUACGGAUGAAAGCGGGGGACCUUCGGGCCUCGCGCGAUAGGGUUGGUCGAUGGCUGAUUAGCUAGUUGGUGGGGUAAAGGCCUACCAAGGCGGCGAUCAGUAGCUGGUCUGAGAGGACGAGCAGCCGCACGGGGACUGAGACACGGCCCAGACUCCUACGAGACGCAGCAGUGGGGAAUUUUGGACAAUGGGCGGAAGCCUGAUCCAGCAAUGCCGCGUGUGUGAAGAAGGCCUUCGGGUUGUAAAGCACUUUUGUCCGGAAAGAAAUCCUUGGCCCUAAUACGGUCGGGGGAUGACGGUACCGGAAGAAUAAGCACCGGCUAACUACGUG